GAUGAACGCUGGCGGCGUGCUUAACACAUGCAAGUCGAACGAAGCAUUUAGAACAGAUUAUUUCGGUAUGAAGUUCUUUAUGACUGAGUGGCGGACGGGUGAGUAACGCGUGGGUAACCUGCCUUGUACUGGGGGAUAGCAGCUGGAAACGGCUGGUAAUACCGCAUAAGCGCACGGUGCUGCAUGGCACAGUGUGAAAAACUCCGGUGGUAUAAGAUGGACCCGCGUCUGAUUAGCUAGUUGGUGAGAUAACAGCCCACCAAGGCGACGAUCAGUAGCCGACCUGAGAGGGUGACCGGCCACAUUGGGACUGAGACACGGCCCAGACUCCUGCGGGAGGCAGCAGUGGGGAAUAUUGCACAAUGGAGGAAACUCUGAUGCAGCGACGCCGCGUGAGUGAAGAAGUAAUUCGUUAUGUAAAGCUCUAUCAGCAGGGAAGAUAGUGACGGUACCUGACUAAGAAGCUCCGGCUAAAUACGUGCCAGCCGCCGCCGUAA
rnacentral:rRNA from 1 species